rnacentral:rRNA from 1 species
UUUUGGACAAUGGGCGCAAGCCUGAUCCAGCAAUGCCGCGUGAGUGAAGAAGGCCUUCGGGUUGUAAAGCUCUUUUGUCAGGGAAGAAACGGUGAGCUCUAAUACAGUUUGCUAAUGACGGUACCUGAAGAAUAAGCACCGGCUAACUACGUGCCAGCAGCCGCGGUAAUACGUAGGGUGCAAGCGUUAAUCGGAAUUACUGGGCGUAAAGCGUGCGCAGGCGGUUAUGUAAGUCAGAUGUGAAAUCCCCGGGCUCAACCUGGGAAUGGCAUUUGAGACUGCAUGGCUAGAGUGUGUCAGAGGGGGGUAGAAUUCCACGUGUAGCAGUGAAAUGCGUAGAGAUGUGGAGGAAUACCGAUGGCGAAGGCAGCCCCCUGGGAUAACACUGACGCCCAUCACGCA